rnacentral:lncRNA from 11 species
GGAAGACCAAGUAGAAAAUUCACCUUUGCUGCAGAAUAACUUUGUCUUGUUUUGGGGUUACAGUUCUCACAGUGCCUGGAUGAGAGACAGGAUAGUAUCUGGAGAGCUAUUUGAAACAACAGGACCAGAAAAGAAAAGAGAUAAAAGGAGAAGAUGGAGGAAAGUUUACUUCAGCUUUCCCAUUUACAUGUGGAGCAGGCCUGUAAACCAUUUUGUUGCAAAGAGAGAGGAAUGUGUUUUUCUUUAAGUUAUCAAUAAAUGGUUCAAGCAGGUUGCCAAGUAAUGGUUUGAGCAGCUUGCCAAGAAUUUUAC